rnacentral:lncRNA from 1 species
AUCUCAGUCUCCAUCAAGUUAUCAAAAUAACUGCUUUGCCGAUGAGCAACAAACAGGCUUUUAUCAGCCCCACACACUCCAGAAGUUCUCUUUUCUGGAGGAAAAUGAGCAAUUUGGUUUCUUAGAACAGGGAUUUCAGAUAUUGGUGGACCAACAUCUUCACGCUUCCUCUUAUUUACAGUUACAAACUUCUUCAGUGU